UGGGGAAUCUUGCACAAUGGGGGAAACCCUGAUGCAGCGACGCCGCGUGAACGAUGAAGCCCUUCGGGGUGUAAAGUUCUUUCGACAGGAACGAUAAUGACGGUACCUGGAGAAGAAGCUGCGGCUAACUACGUGCCAGCAGCCGCGGUAAUACGUAGGCAGCGAGCGUUGUUCGGAGUUACUGGGCGUAAAGAGUGCGUAGGCGGCGAGCCAAGUUUGGUGUGAAAUCUCCCGGCUUAACCGGGAGGGUGCGCCGAAAACUGGUUGGCUGGAGUAUGGGAGAGGAAAGCGGAAUUCCUGGUGUAGCGGUGAAAUGCGUAGAUAUCAGGAGGAACACCUGCGGUGUAGGCAGCUUUCUGGACCAAAACUGACGCUGAGGCACGAAAGCGUGGGUAGCAAACA
rnacentral:rRNA from 1 species